UAGGCUUAUGUGGCAUCAUGCCAGGAGCUACAUGUCAUCAACUCCUGAACAGACUGCCUGAGAGAAGAGGAACUUUCUUCUUUUCACACAGGAGGAAUGACUUUUCCUAAUAUGUUACCAUUACUUGCUGUAAUACAUGGCUGCACCACCUAAAUACAAAAUAGUUUUGUUCUUCCUUGUAAGAAGCCACCUUCUCCAUCACAGCAGAUCGAUUCUACAACAAUGCCAAACCAAAUGUGAGAAACUGCAUUCCUAGAACUUAUUCUUUCUUGAAUAAAGCAAAGGGGUGUGUGUGAUUAAAUGAAA